GAUGAACGCUGGCGGCGUGCCUAAUACAUGCAAGUCGAGCGAACGGACGAGAAGCUUGCUUCUCUGAUGUUAGCGGCGGACGGGUGAGUAACACGUGGAUAACCUACCUAUAAGACUGGGAUAACUUCGGGAAACCGGAGCUAAUACCGGAUAAUAUUUUGAACCGCAUGGUUCAAAAGUAAAAGACGGUCUUGCUGUCACUUAUAGAUGGAUCCGCGCUGCAUUAGCUAGUUGGUAAGGUAACGGCUUAUCAAGGCAACGAUGCAUAGCCGACCUGAGAGGGUGAUCGGCCACACUGGAACUGAGACACGGUCCAGACGCCUACGGGAGGCAGCAGUAGGGAACCUUCCGCAAUGGGCGAAAGCCUGACGGAGCAACGCCGCGUGAGUGAUGAAGGUCUUCGGAUCGUAAAACUCUGUUAUUAGGGAAGAACAUAUGUGUAAGUAACUGUGCACAUCUUGACGGUACCUAAUCAGAAAGCCACGGCUAACUACGUG
rnacentral:rRNA from 1 species